AUGAACGAGUUGGACACCUUGACUGCUGAGCAGGUAUAUUGGUUGCCUUAUGUGGAAGAUCGUGACUUUGAUCUUAAUGAGAUGUGCACGCGUGAUAGCCAUCUUUGGGGGGCGAGGUGCCCAAUGAUAUGCUUCUUCGCAGCCGAGUGGCACUUUGUAGACCGUGUGGUAAGACAAUUUGGAAGAAGACAAGGUAUUCCAAUUGAGGAGAGCAAGGAGGAAAUGCUAUCUCUGCAUCGGUUCGAUCGAAGGAACAAUCAGGAUAUAUCAGAUUGGGCAAACAAACACCGUGCGUGGAUAGAAAUUUGGAAUCAAAGAGACACGUUAGUGCAAUCAGAGAAUAGACCUCACAAUCAGUCAGCAUAUCAGAAGUAUCAAGUGUGGUAUGUGGAUCGUUACCGGUUAAAGCUGAAGCCUGGUUGGACUCAUGAGGAGUGGUCGGAGUUGGUGUCUGAGGACCCGGAGACUGCACAAGGUUAUCAAACCUUUAACACGGUUGUGAGAGACACCAGAGGGGCUCAUGUUGACUAUGCACCGAUGCAUGAUGAAAUGGGAAGAGAGUUGCUUCUGUGCGUCAACGAUGCCAAUGUUGCACUGAGUCAUCCACCUGGUGGUGCAUUAUCUGAGAGGACUCUUAGGAGCACGAUGGAGAAGUUCAAGAAGCGGUUUCAUAAGAUGGCAGCAAUGCUUUCUUGCCAUGGUGCUCAGUCCAGUGACGUGUAUGCACCUGUCUGA
rnacentral:rRNA from 1 species